GAAGAAUACAGAAUAGAUUGACUCAUUUUCCCUUUCUAUGUUUUGACCUUCUCUCCUUUAAGGGGCGUGGGACCCAUCAGGAGUCCUCCUUCUGCUGUGUGGAUGAGAACAUCGUCUGGUUUCUGCAAGCUCCAUGAGUCUGGAGACCCUUCUGUUUGAAGUCCAGAGGCUGGCACCCCUGCAGAGGGAGUUGGUGUUUUUCCACAGUCAACUGAGGACAGAACUCAGCCAAGCAAUUGAGUCUAUGACUCAGUCAGACAGAGGCACGGCUGACAAUAUAGGACUGCUUCACUGUCACCCAGUCACAGAUGGCCAGACUGAAGGAAAGGAGCAGCUAUGUUAUGAGGUGAGCAGAGACAAGUAAGCAUCCCAACACAUCCAUCCCAUGGUGCAUGUACACAUCUGGCACUGAUUCCCUACUUCCCUUUGAGGGAGGCGUGAGUGCAUGUGUGCGCAUGUGUGUGUGUGUGUGCACAUGUGCAUGCGUGUGUGAGUGUGCAAACAAGAGCAAUCUAAGCAUGUGAGAAGUUCCAGCAAGACAUGAGACGUGUAGGACAACUGGAACAUGGUGCAGUAUAGUACAAGGUAAGAGGAGACUGCUAAUAAAAGUGCUCUCCCAAGGCCA
rnacentral:lncRNA from 12 species